AAUCGAACUUGGAUCCUCUGGAAGAGCAG
rnacentral:piRNA from 1 species